AUUGAACGCUAGCGGGAUGCUUUACACAUGCAAGUCGACGAGUGGCGGACGGGUGAGGAAUAUAUCGGAACGUGCCCAGUAGCGGGGGGUAACUACUCGAAAGAGUGGCUAAUACCGCAUUCUAUUUGAGCGGCCGAUAUCGGGUUAGCUCGUGGGGGGGGGAAAGGCUCACCAAGGCAACGAUCCGUAGCUGGUGUGAGAGGACGACCAGCCACACUGGGACUGAGACACGGCCCAGACUCCUACGGGAGGCAGCAGUGGGGAAUUUUGGACAAUGGGGGAAACCCUGAUGCAGCCAUGCCGCGUGUAUGAGAAGGCCUUCGGGUUGUAAAGUACUUUUGGCAGAGAAGCGGUAUCUGCAGAAUAAGCACCGGCUAACUACGUGCCAGCAGCCGCGGUAAUAC
rnacentral:rRNA from 1 species